GACGAACGCUGGCGGCGCGCUUAACACAUGCAAGUCGUGCGGUGUCGAAGGCAAGUCUUACGACAAGCCUUCGACACAGCGGCGAACGGGUGAGUAACACGUGAGUAGCUGUCCUAAGGAGGGGGAUAACGCCUGGAAACGGGUGCUAAUACCCCAUAUGCCUCGCAAGAGGUGAAAGUGUACUUGCUACAGCCUUAGGGUGUGCUCGCGGCCUAUCAGCUAGUUGGUGAGGUAACGGCUCACCAAGGCUAAGACGGGUAGCCGGCCUGAGAGGGUGUACGGCCACACUGGAAUUGAGAUACGGUCCAGACUCCUACGGGAGGCAGCAGUGGGGAAUCUUGGGCAAUGGACGAAAGUCUGACCUAGCGACGCCGCGUGAGGGAAGAAGGCCUUCGGGUUGUAAACCUCUGUCAUGGGGAAGAAGUAAGUGACGGUACCCAAGAGGAAGCCCUGCUAACUACGUG
rnacentral:rRNA from 1 species